UACAGAGGGUGCGAGCGUUAAUCGGAAUUACUGGGCGUAAAGCGCGCGUAGGCGGCUUUGCAAGUCGGGUGUGAAAUCCCCAGGCUCAACCUGGGAACUGCAUUCGAGACUGCAUUGCUAGAGUAUGGGAGAGGGAAGUGGAAUUUCCGGUGUAGCGGUGAAAUGCGUAGAUAUCAGGAGGAACACCGGUGGCGAAGGCGGGUCUCUGGGCCGAAAUUGACGCUGAGGAGCGAAAGCGUGGGGAGCAAACAGG
rnacentral:rRNA from 1 species